GGACUGAAGCAGUCUGGAAAGGCUUCAAGGAAGAGGGGAAACAUGAGCCAGCCUUGGAACACGUGAGCAUGGGAAGAGGCACAAGAAAAUGAACUGUUGUUUGAAGUGGCUAAAAACCAGUCAAGGACAGGUGACAUAGAGAUUUCCUAAGGAAGGCUUGGGAACGUCCACAAGAAGCUGGGAGCACACGGUUCUGACAGUUGCAAGUCCCAGCCCCUGCCCUGCCAUGUCUGGCACCAGAAGCGCUGACUUAAUAUGAGAAAGGCUUUCCUGGGGACCUGUGGCUUGGGCAGCAGCAGCAGUGGUGGCAGGAAGUACCGGAAAUCCCAUGAGAGGCGUGUUCCUGAACACGUGCCAGUCGCUUUUGCAGAUUCAUGAGAAAGCAAGCUUUUCAUUAACACCCUACCUGAUCACUGGGGAGGACACCGGGACAUGUGGGAAAGAGGAGGAGGCUCAACUUGAGGAUUGUUUCCUCUAAGAGUCUGUUCAGCCCUGAGAAAAUUAGCUUCUCUCCAACUUGUUUCCUGCAUUUCUCUGGACAUGACCAGACACACCUGAAGGAAGCCUCAGCAGUG